CGUAGGGGGCUAGCGUUGUCCGGAAUCAUUGGGCGUAAAGCGCGCGUAGGCGGCCCGGUAAGUCCGCUGUAAAAGUCAAAGGCUUAACCUUUGAAUGUCAGUGGAUACUGCCGGGCUAGAGUCCGGAAGAGGCGAGUGGAAUUCCUGGUGUAGCGGUGGAAUGCGCAGAUAUCAGGAGGAACACCAACGGCGAAGGCAGCUCGCUGGGACGGUACUGACGCUGAGGCGCGAAAGCGUGGGGAGCAAACAGGAUUAGAUACCCUGGUAGUCCACGCCGUAAACGAUGGGCACUAGGUGUGGGAGGUGUCGACUCCUCCCGUGCCGGCGCUAACGCAUUAAGUGCCCCGCCUGGGGAGUACGGCCGCAAGGCUA
rnacentral:rRNA from 1 species